CAUAUAAUGAGGAUUAAAAGUUAGGGAUCUCAUUGCCCCAAAACGUUCAGUUUCAUUUCGAUGGGCAUCUCAAGGACUCAGAGGAAGGCAGGCUUUUCAUCUACAGGAGCAUGGAGACUUCAGGUAUCCUGCUUGCUGGCUUUGCAUAGGUCUUUACACUGAGUGAAUGGCUGUGCAUUUGUUGUAGAUUCAAGGGCUAAAGAAGUAAAGGGGAGAGAAGAGAUUACCCUUUCAGAACCCCGAUUCCCUCUAAACCUAAGAUGACAACACAUAACUUUGCUCAGUGGAUGAGUUUGUGGUGCCGGUCACUGGUGCUGAACACAGAAGGGACAGCUGUGGAAGGGGCUUUGCCAAGAGAAGCAAACAAGAGAAUGGAAACACGCCCUGUACCGAUGCCCUCGCUUGCACGCGUGAGGGCGGCAGGGACUUCGUGUCCAGCUGUCCCCACUCCGCCCUGACUCUGGAGAUGAGAUGAGGCACCUCAGAGGAUGGAUGGGUCACUACUUUCGAGGAUGCAGAUGGCAGCUGUGGUCCCUUCUCUUUGCUCAGGACAGAGCUGUCACGUGGGAGCAUCUUCCACUCCUGCCAGUAAUGCCAAGUCCAUUGCGAGUGUGUAUGCUCGGCCAGGGCGGCUGCCUGGUGUGUGCAAGAGGUGCAAAGUGAGAGGGUUUUCUUCCCCACACCGCCCCUCGGGAGUCUCACGCAUUCCCCAGGCCUCUCUCUCGGCGCCAUCUUUUCUCGUGUCUCCCGCCCCUUCUGCGCACUGGUAUUAGAGAUGCUCCUAUUUCACUGUGAACUGACUCAGUUGGACUUUAAACAUUGUUUUAUAUUCCUUGCUACAAUUUCCAUUCCAGCCAGGAGUGUCAGAAUCUCUGAAGUGACCAAUUUAUUCAAAGGGCACACUCUGGCCAAAAGCCUGCUCUGACCAAAUAUGUGUGUAGUAGGAUUGUCUUCAGCAUCUCUUCCCCUCCCCGGUGGCAAGUGUCCUCAGGAGCUUGUGGUGAGCAAGAUACCAUGAAUAAUUCUUUCUCCGCUACCCUUGCAUGUAUCCUGGGCACCAUAUCUCAGGUCAUCUUGGGCACAGCUUACAAAUAGCUGUUACCUUCUCCCUGGAAGCUGCUGUGUCCAUCAGGAGCUGUUGUGCUUCCAGCGGAAGGGUGUGACAGUGCUGGUAUUUUAGGCUCCUAGGCAGAGAACAAAGGAGGCAGACUUUUUGAAACACGGUAGGGGUAUAGGCACCUAGAUCGUUCUUGGAGGUGAUUGUCCAGAAACUAUGGCCUGGAGACACUGCUGAGUUCACUGCACUGAACUCAGUUUCUAUGGUGCUGAGACAGCAGGGUGGCUUUUUGAAGAGCUUCAAGAAUUAGCCCCAGGCCCGCAGUGAGAGAGAGAGAGAGAGAGAGAGAGAGAGACUGUGAACAGUUAUGCAGAUUGUGAAUUGCUAGAGGGGUACGUGUAUGGAGGCACGAUUCAUAUGGCAAACACUGACACAUGUUUAUUAUGACAAUCAGCCAGCAGAGACUAAUGUAUACACGGACCCAGGGCCUUGUGUAUGCUAGGUAAGUGCUCUACCGCCCAGCAACAGCUUUAGCCCCAGAGGCCUAUUUCUAAUUAAGAGACAGGAGAGGCCAAGUCGGAUUCCAGGAGAGACAGGCAGGCUCUAGCGUCUUCCUUGUGGGCUCUCCCCACUCUGUCCAUCAUUCUUCCCUGUCACUCAGGCCCAGCCAUCCUCAUCUAUUUUACCAGCUCCUAGGCUGGCUUGUUCCACAGUGUCCUUGAGGUCCCAUGUGCCUGACGGGCCCUGACAGGUCUGCCCAUGAGCUAGCCAGCCCACAGCCUCUCCCCUUCCUGCCCCCAGCCUCUGGUACUCCUUCCCUUCAUGGAGCUUCCUGCAGCGCUCCCUCUCACCCUAGUCUUUUCACCUGCUGGCUUUCAGCCUUCCUGGUUUGAAUGAGAAUGUACCCUAACUCAUGGCCUCAGCUGUGAGGGGAAGAGAAAAGGGAGCCCCUCAACUUCUGAUGAGGGAAGUCCAUGUUCCUUAGGCAGGCAGGACUUAACUAUUUUGGGACUGUGACCUUUGGUGUUCUGGAAAUCCUGGCAUCCUUUCCCUCUCCUGACAGCACAUCGCAUCUUAGCUGGGGCUGUCAUCGGCAGCCCUGCCCUUCCUGAUCCAGUGCCCUCCAGAUUUUGAACUUUGAGCCUUACAAUCAACCUCGGCUACACCAACUUUCACUGUGUUCCUCCAAAGCGCCAAGACCCUGCUGAUUCAGGCUCUUCAUUCAUGCUGUCCUUUUCGCCUGGAACUACACACAUCCCCCAACUUAAGCUCAACAGCCCACCCCUCCACAAACUGCCGGCCACCGUAUUUUCAAACCUCUCUCACUGUAAAUGUACUUCCUCAGAAAGCCUCCCUGAUCCCUGAGAUUAGAUCUCUUCUGUUAGAUGUGCUUAGUGUAGGGGCAGCAAACUGUUUCUAUAAAGGGUCAGAAAGUAAAUAGCUUCAUCCUUGCUGGCCAUCUGGUCUCUGUAGCAACUACUCAACUCUGCAGUUGUAGCAGACAUCGUUCAUAGAUGAUAGGAAAAUGAAUGGGCACAAAAUGUGUUCAAAUAACAUAUUUUGUUAAAAUCAAACAAACAGGUAGUGGGACAUAGUCCAUGAACCAUAAUUUGCCAAUCCGUGCCUUAGAGCAGGGAUCCCUAACUCCUGUUAGGCUCUGGGCUACAAAUGAGGAGGUGAGCAGCAGCAAAGGGAGAUAAGCUUUAUCUGUAUCUAUAGCCACUCCCCAUCGCUUCCUUUGGUGUCUGAGCUCCAUAACCCCCUACUUCUGCCCUCCUGUCUGUGAAAAAAUUCUCUCUCACAAAGGCAGUCCCUCAUGCCAAAAGGGUUGGGGACCUCUGUCUUAGAGCAUCCUAUCUUUUUACUUCCUAGUAUUUAUAGUAAUAUGUAACUAAAUCAUUGUAUCUGUGUGCUCUGGAAUAUCUGCCCUUGCUCCCUAAACUUCUUUUCUACAAAAACAGUGAUCAUGCCUACCUUGUAGCAUCCAGCCAGAACAAUAGGCACUCAAAUAAAACAACAAGUCAAGCCACACCAGUUUACCCAUCAGCCUUUAUGCUAAGCCCUCAGUUUGAGCAAUGGGAAAAGGACCUUUACCCUUUCUUGUAGAUGAUGAUAACUUGAAUGAUAAGGAAGCUAGGACAGCAAGAGUAGAGGUGUAAAAGAGGCUAUCUGAUGCCUCACUAAACAUACAGAGGGCGAGUAAGCAUGUGGAAAGAUGUUCAACAUUACAUGUCACUGGGAAUUGCAAAUUUAAAUGAAGAGCUACCACUACACACCUAUUAAGAUGGCCAAUAUCAAAAGCAUUAACAACAUCAAAUGCUGGCAAGGAUGUGAAGCAAGAAGAAUUUUUGUUUGCUGCUAGUGGAAAUGCAAAAUGGUACAGCCAUUUAAGAAGGCAUCUUCACAAUUUCUUUCAAAACUAAGCACCAUGCCCUUACCAUAUGAUCUAGCAAUCAUGCUCUUUGAUAUUCACCCAAAGGAAAGGACAACUUAUGUGCACAGAAAACUGCCCAUGGAUGUUGGUGGCAGAUGUAUUCAUAACAUGGAAGCAACUCUGUGUCCUUUGGGAGGUGAAUUAAGAAAUUAUAUACAACUAGACAAUGGAAUAUUAUUCAGCACUACAAAGAAUUGAUCUAUCAAACCAUGAAAAGACAUGGAGGAGACUUAAGUGCGUAUGACUGAGUAAAAAAAAAGCCAGUCAGGAAAAGCUACAUACUGUAGAAUUCCAAUUAUAUGACCUUCUGCAAAAGGCCAAGUUUUGAAGACAGUAAAAUAACAGUGAUUUCCAGGGGUUUAGGAGAGGGAGGCAUGAAAUAGGCCCAGUGCAGAUGUUGAGGGCUGUGACACUACCCUAUGUUAUACACAAUGAUGGGUGUGUGUAAUCCAUUCUAUGUUUGCCAACCCCUGUGGCAAUGUACAACACUAUGAAUGAACUCUGUUGUAAACUAUGGACUACGGGUGAUACUGAUGGGUCAUUGUAGGUGCGUCAGUUGCAACAAAUCUGCCCCUCUGCAGGAUAUCUACUGUGGGGGAGGUUGUGCCUAUGUGGGACAGGGUACACAAGAACUCUGUACUUUCUGCUCACUUUUGCUGUGAACC